rnacentral:rRNA from 1 species
GCUAAGUUUGAUGGCGACCGGCGCACGGGUGAGUAACACGUAUCCAACCUGCCGAUGACCCGGGGAUAGCCUUUCGAAAGAAAGAUUAAUACCCGAUGGCAUAGUUCUUCCGCAUGGUGGAACUAUUAAAGAAUUUCGGUCAUCGAUGGGGAUGCGUUCCAUUAGGUUGUUGGCGGGGUAACGGCCCACCAAGCCUUCGAUGGAUAGGGGUUCUGAGAGGAAGGUCCCCCACAUUGGAACUGAGACACGGUCCAAACUCCUACGGGAGGCAGCAUG